GGGCAUGACAUUUUUCUAUCAUGCCUGCUUGUCCUUUGUCCUAUCCCCUGGCCACUAAAUGGCUGCAGAGAGGGGCACAGAGUCAGAAAGCAGAGACUCCACCUCUUAAAAACCACUUGGGGGAAAAAAAGGUUCUCAGGCAUUUUGUACAAUUGAAAAGAUUAUGCUGUUUUCUAUGGGCAACAGCUACAUGUGAAUUUUGCACAGGAGUUUAGAAUUGCGAAUAGCUUUUGAAAUGAGAAGAAACAUAAUGAAGAAUUCCAUCCCAGGAAAGGAAGGGAAAGAAAAAGAACGAAAAGAGGGAAAUGCAGUGAUACGGCUAAUGAGGACCCUGGAUGGUUUGAUGAUCUUGAUUGGGUUCAUGUAUC